rnacentral:rRNA from 1 species
CCUACGGGAGGCAGCAGUAAGGAAUAUUGGUCAAUGGGCGCAAGCCUGAACCAGCCAUGCCGCGUGCAGGAAGACGGCCCUAUGGGUUGUAAACUGCUUUUGAACAAGAGAAAACCUCGGUACGUGUACCGAGCUGAUAGUAUUGUUAGAAUAAGCAUCGGCUAACUUCGUGCCAGCAGCCGCGGUAAGACGAAGGAUGCAAGCGUUAUCCGGAUUCAUUGGGUUUAAAGGGUGCGUAGGCGGCCUGAUAAGUCAGUGGUGAAAUCUCUCAGCUUAACUGAGAAACUGCCAUUGAUACUGUCGGGCUUGAGUACAGAUGAUGUGGGCGGAAUAUGACAUGUAGUGGUGAAAUACUUAGAUAUGUCAUAGAACACCGAUUGCGAAGGCAGCUCACAAAACUGUAACUGACGCUGAGGCACGAAAGUGCGGGGAUCAAACAGGAUUAGAUACCCUGGUAGUCCGCACCGUAAACGAUGAUUACUCGUUGUUGGCAAUAUGACCGUCAGCGACACGACGAAGACGAGUAAGUAAGUACCGACCGACGGAGGACGACCGGACGACGUAGAACGUACGAAGUAGAAGUAGACGGACGGNGAGGACGAGCGACGGACGACGACGAGGGGAGGAGG